rnacentral:misc_RNA from 1 species
AUGCGAGACUGACCGGCGGUUUCCUACGACAGUAUUGUUUUCAUUUCAAUAACAAUCAUUGAAUGUUCGUAAUUGCUUCAACUACUAAUAAUACAGCAUAUUCCUUGCUAACUUUUAAACACUAUGGAAACGACAAAAACGCCCGCGAUAUGAAGAUGUUGAUAUCACAAAGAGUAAAACGAUCUAUACGGUGACACCUUUAGUUCAGAGAACUGGACCAGUAAGUGAAAUGGAGGUUCUAGCUCAUGAAGCAGUAGGACCUCGCCAGUAUGUGUAUGGAGAUGAAAGAAAGUAAACGGAAUAAGGAAUAAUAAUAUGUAUGGUCAAUGAGAGAUAACUGUGUUUGAAAGUUACACUUUGUGUGAUUAUUGUGUUUUUUCGACUUUAAUAGAAUUUGAUGAUUUUUAAGAAUUGCACUGAAAUAUUGUUUAAUAAUUUGAUGUCUGAAAAAGUAUAAUAUCAACAUAUAUUUUGAGAAACAUAACUUAGCAUAUAUUACUUUGUUUUUAAAUUCAAAUUCAUAUGUCUUGAUAAUCUCCAUGUGGCGAUGCCGUUUUUAUAUCUAACGACUUUCUAAAAAUAUGUAAACGUAAUUGUUAGUUUAAACUUCCUUAGAAAGACGUAAAAGAGCCCUGCUUGUUAAUAUUUAAACAGAAAACACGGUGAAUUUUGUAAUUGGCUGUUUGAUUUGGUCCAUAGACACAGAUAUAUUUAAUUAACCCCGUGUCAGAAAGUUUCUGUGAUUUUUGUAGACAAUCACUUAAUUCAAUAGUUCUGCAUUAAGUCCAUACUGUACACAUUUUUCCGAGAAUGAAGACACAGGAACCAGUUUUAAAAUUCAUGAAAACUCAAAUAUAUUUGCGAGAAUCUAAUAAAUAGUUGUUUUUUAUUCAAUUAAAUUAAACUAAAAUUAAAUUGUUUUUAACUUAAUUAUUUACAAAUAUAUCUGUGUGAAGCCGAUAAAUAAAUUUAUUUUACAUAU